CAGGCGCCCGGAUGGGCUUAAAGGGGAAUCCAGUAAUAAGCUGGAGCGGACCCGCCGCUGUAAUCCCGAUUUCCACUAUUUCGGAAUACUCACUCUCUACUCUUGGAAAGCCACUUGUUAAAUUGACAGGGAAGGCAGGUAGAGAUCGGGAGAGCCAGAAGACCUGCCUGGAC
rnacentral:ncRNA from 1 species